rnacentral:rRNA from 1 species
CCCCUAGAUGUCCUGGGCCGCACGCGCAAUACAAUGUAAAGUUCAGAAAGCAUAUCCUGUUCCGGAAGGCAAUGGGUAAUCUUUUCAAUAUUUUACGUGUUAGGGAUCGAUCUUUGCAAUUAUAGAUCUUGAACGAGGAAUACCUAGUAAGUGCAGCUCAUCAGGCUGUACUGAUUACGUCCCUGCCCUUUGUACACACCGCCCGUCGCUCCUACCGAUUUCGAGUGGUCCGGUGAAUCUUUUGGAAUUAGAGUGCAAACUCAAACUAAGAUCGAUAAACCUUAUCACUUAGAGGAAGGAGAAGUCGUAACA